rnacentral:rRNA from 1 species
UACGAAGGGUGCUAGCGUUGUUCGGAAUCACUGGGCGUAAAGCGCAUGCAGGCGGGUUGUUAAGUCAGGGGUGAAAUCCCGGGGCUCAACCUCGGAACUGCCUCUGAUACUGGCGGCCUUGAGUGCGGGAGAGGUGAGUGGAACUGCGAGUGUAGAGGUGAAAUGCGUAGAUAUUCGCAAGAACACCAGUGGCGAAGGCGGCUCACUGGCCCGGUACUGACGCUGAGGUGCGAAAGCGUGGGGAGCAAACAGG